rnacentral:rRNA from 1 species
AGUGAACGCUGGCGGUAUGCCUAACACAUGCAAGUCGAGCGGCAGCACAGUAAGAGCUUGCUCUUACGGGUGGCGAGUGGCGGACGGGUGAGGAAUACAUCGGAAUCUACUUUUUCGUGGGGGAUAACGUAGGGAAACUUACGCUAAUACCGCAUACGACCUACGGGUGAAAGCAGGGGAUCUUCGGACCUUUCGCGAUUGAAUGAGCCGAUGUCGGAUUAGCUAGUUGGCGGGGUAAAGGCCCACCAAGGCGACGAUCCGUAGCUGGUCUGAGAGGAUGAUCAGCCACACUGGAACUGAGACACGGUCCAGACUCCUACGGGAGGCAGCAGUGGGGAAUAUUGGACAAUGGGCGAAAGCCUGAUCCAGCCAUACCGCGUGGGUGAAGAAGGCCUUCGGGUUGUAAAGCCCUUUUGUUGGGAAAGAAAAGCAGCAGGUUAAUACCCCGAUGUUCUGACGGUACCCAAAGAAUAAGCAACGGCUAACUUCGUG